UACGAAGGGUGCAAGCGUUAAUCGGAAUUACUGGGCGUAAAGCGUGCGUAGGCGGUUGUUUAAGUCUGCUGUGAAAUCCCCGGGCUCAACCUGGGAAUGGCAGUGGAUACUGGACAGCUAGAGUGUGAUAGAGGAUGGUGGAAUUCCCGGUGUAGCGGUGAAAUGCGUAGAGAUCGGGAGGAACAUCAGUGGCGAAGGCGGCCAUCUGGAUCAACACUGACGCUGAGGCACGAAAGCGUGGGGAGCAAACAGGAUUAGAUACCCUGGUAGUCCACGCCCUAAACGAUGCGAACUGGAUGUUGGUCUCAACUCGGAGAUCAGUGUCGAAGCUAACGCGUUAAGUUCGCCGCCUGGGGAGUACGGUCGCAAGACUGAA
rnacentral:rRNA from 1 species